AACGCACAUUGCGCCCACUAGUAUUCUAGUGGGCAUGCCUGUUCGAGCGUCAUUUCAACCCUUAAGCCUCUGUUGCUUAGUGUUGGGAGCCUACGGUCAUAGUAGCUCCUCAAAGUUAGUGGCGGAGCUGGCUCACACUCCAGGCGUAGUAGAUGCUAUCUCGCUUGUGAGUUAGGCCGGUCCCCAGCCGUAAAACCCCCUAAUUUUUAAAGGUUGACCUCGGAUCAGGUAGGAAUACCCGCUGAACUUAA
rnacentral:misc_RNA from 1 species